GUUUAGAUAGCUUAAGUUUAAAGUAUAACACUGAAGAUGUUAGCAUGAAAUAUAUUUCUCUAGACA
rnacentral:tRNA from 1 species